CCGGAAGGACACUUGGGCAAUGAACUGUUUCAGUAAACAUCAACAUAUACAAAUGCUGUGUACAAUAGAAUAUUGUUUUAUUCAUAUUUAUUAAACAAAUAAGAGCUUUCUUAUUUUAAAAUGUGAUUAAAUGUAUUAUAGAGGACUUCUGCAGUAGGAUUCUAUCACCAGAUCAAUGUGCAUAGGUGGGAUCUAGUUAAAGUUAAAUUUCACCCUUCCUUGCCUAAAUUAGAUACAUUUUGGCGACACUUGAACGCUUUUCUCGUUAGUAGAACAUAAAACGCUCCUGCUUACUGUUCUAGUGAUCAUUGAAUUAGUGGGAUGUGCUCUACAAUUCUGCUUCUCCAGCUUAGUGAGUCCUUGAAAAAUAACAUCAAAACUAAUUUGUUCCAUGCACACAAAAUAUUUCCAUAUUUCUCCUCUCUCCUACAGCUCCACUGUCACUGUAGCUCACUGUCAGUUUGCAAACCAAAAGUAAAUACACUCAAUAUCCACCCAAACAGUGAUCUGUGAUUGACAGGCUUGUUGUGUUCAGUGCGUGUGAGUCUGGUCCCAAUGCACAGAUGGUGUGGGCGCUCGUGCGCGUGUGUGUGUGUGUGCGUGUGUGUGUGUGUGUUUGUGUGCUCUGCCAAGACUACUGAUCAGUACAAAGAUACGUUUCAUUGUGAUUACAGUCAACAACUGGGCAAAGAAUGUAAGCAGGAGCAUUGUGGAGCCAGGAUGGAUGAGUGGUUACCGGAGUUAAAGUGAAGCCAUCUGCCCAAUUAUUGUCAAGCCAGAAUAGAAGAGGAAGUACCAGAAGGAAGUGCAAAUGUGACUACUCCACCCACAAUUAAAGAGGAGGCUUCAGAGAGGCAACCUUCACCAGAUACCCCCUGUGAGAUUAUUCAUUUGUUUAACUGGUUCCCACAUCUAAAGCCAGUGGAAAUGCGGCUGUACAUAACACAACACAACAUAACUUAACAUAACAUAGCAUAAUGACGAGAACAGGCCAUUCAGCCCAACAAUGCGUCGCCAUAUGUUUGGGAUUCCAUUUAAAGAAGUGCAGUUCCCUCCCCGAGACUCACAGCAAAAUGUUCAUAUUCACUGCUUUAAUUAGUGUACCAGUGGGUUGCAACCAAUGGUGCGCACCCACACAUUAAACAGCUGAUUUAUUCAUUUUACUGAAAUUCCUUAUUUAGCUACGGUGAAAAGGUAUGAACUAAAAAACAAUGGACUAGAAAGAUUCUACACAUCAAUCAAAGUGUAAUUACAAUGUUGUAAUGAGAAACAGAAAUUUUACAUGAUCUGAUUGGGACUCAUUGUUUCAGAGGUGCAGCACAGCUUUUUUGUGCCAGAUGAAGAGCUCUUGCACCAGUGAACAAACUGUAAUUCAAAGGUUGCAGAUGGCUUAGGAACUGAACGAUCCAGGAGCACUGUUGUCGUAAGAGCUGCAGUUAGUUUCAAAGGCAAUUUUAAGGGGAAGGAAAAUUUAUGUACUGGAUGCCAUUGACUUCAGGUGUAAUGGACUUUGGCAGUAAAGUCUUGAAGGACGAUCGAAGAAAGUCAAUAUUUUCCUCCUAGAAAUACUUAAAAAGAUGAGGUAAAAGGGAACUUAUCCAUAUUACUCAUGGGCCUAUAUAAAGCAGGCCCUUUAUUUUUAAACACCUGCUCCACCACAACUUAAUUUCAGCUGUGGCAAGAAUUGGUCCUGGGUCACCGCCUUUAAUAGGCUAACUUGGUGGCAAAAGGUCACUUGUGGAAAAAAGUGUUUGUCCCCGGCUUUGCUUCUGCGAUUUGUCUGACACGUGAUCUAAUAAAAAUGUUAUUGCAAAUAAAUAAAUAAAUAAAUAAAAUUGAAGACAACUUAAUGGGCAACUUUCCAAUUUGUAGUUCAGUUUUAACUGAGAGAAGCGGACACCAGCAGAGCGUAGCUAAUUAACUGCACAACGGUCAUAAUUAAUACCGGGAACACAUUAAUUAAACCUUUAAUUAUUAGAUGUAUUUCUUGUCAUGUACAUUUAAUUGUCUCUUGACUUGUUAAUUGCAGCCUUCUCCACCUGUAAUGACACCCCAUACUAAUUCACGUCCUUUGGUUGGCUUGGGCGAAAUUAGGCUACAGUCAGGCCUAUGAAAUAAGUAUUACGAUGACUCAUCAUCCACAGGAAGGCACAGUCCUUUCUGCAGUUUAGCUCCUGAUGCUUUAUUUUAUCGUGCUGUCAAAAGGAUACUGUUUCCGUCACGUUGAUUUGUUGUUAUAUCACGUGGGAUAGGAUACACUUGUGCGUACUGCGCGUAAAUUAGGCUACUGUAUUCCAUGAGCAAUUCAAAGUGUUUAAAAUGAUGAGAUAACAAUAUUGGAAAAGCAUAAGCUAUAGAUCUUGCCUAAAAUUAAUCACGCUCUAAAUGCGUAUGAUGCACAAUUGCAUAUUUGUUGGUAUUUUUCACUCGUAGCUUACCUCAGAAAGAAAUAAUACGCAUUGUCCUCCAGGACACUGUACGAAUGACAGGGGAAGUAACCAAGUCCGGUGACAUUGAAUCUGGAGCCGGCGGGUACCUCCAGCAUGCUGCCCCAUGCCUGGUCACACAGCAGCUCUAUCUCUGCAGAGUAAAGGAGCUUCGUGUCGUACUGCCACGGCAGAUAGUUAUACACGCUGUAGAAGUCCUUGUGAAUCGCCAGAACUUUGGCAAAAACUAUUAUCUCCGCCAACUCGGCUCUGCACGACUCGGUCUGUGGUCUCCAGUCGUUGGGUAGCUGGCAUCCUAAAAUUCCGUGAAGACAAGUCGCAAGUAUUAUCGCAGCAAUAGCGCCCAUGGCUGAAUAGCCCGCGUCUUCAGUGAGUCAAGAAAUCACGGGCACCCUUUCUGGUUGUUUGAAUUCGUAGAAUAAAUAAGCGCUUUUAGCGCAAACCUGAGUCGGCUCGAACAUGCACAAUGAACACAAAAACUAUUUGGGUAGCCUACCCCGUGCAUUGGAGGCAUUGCAUGGACAGUCAUAUACUCUUUUGACGGCGAAUGAAAUAAUGUUGUGUAAUUAGUAAUAAACGCCCACAUGCAACAUGUUUGAGAAGUUGGUGCUGUUUCUUCUGAGAUUUAAGUCCACCCCCUACUCUCCUCUUGUAGCGCACUGGUAGUUGGAGGUCAUCCGGCUCCCCUGCUUCCCAGACACGCUCCAACAGUGUCUUGAGGAAUUCCUCACUGCAAGACGUUUGGGGAUGAGGAAAGCCAGCCUCUGGAGACGGGCUGCUGAAGAAAUGGUUCUGAAAUUCCUCACUGGCUGCUGGCAUUCCUGAGACCAGCUCCUCUUUCCCAGGAACCUUUCCAACAUACACCUGUUUGAGCUGGAGGGAACUUCUCAUUUUUGAAAGGGCUUGUGGACAAAUGUGGGAGUAACGGACACGCCCAGGUCUUGACGGGGUCCAUGUUGGCAUCUGGUUCAGAUGAGAAACACACCUUUUUUGGCAGACCAUUGAUAUAUUAUUGGAGUGGCUGGGAUUUAGCCCUAGGGAAGAGGUAGUGAAGGACUUCCGGAAACUUCAGGGAGGGGAGGGUAAGAGAGGGGGCAUCGUAUUACUUAAGAAACAACGACGCAGAGGCCUUUAUCCUCUCCAGAGGCCACAGCGUUUUCAUAAAGACCCGGGAGCUCCACAAUGAUUUGAAGCUGUAGAACAACCAGAGGGAGUCCUACAGGGACCUGAGAUGGGUCUACAGAAGCCAAAGAAUGGGGGCUGCCAUUUCACAGUUUCCCAAAUAACCAGGGCCCUCACCAGCUCUCACCAACCUGUAAGCUCUACCCUCUCGCUCCUUCCAUAGAUAUUUAAUAGGCACGAGAUGGAGGUUGUUCUUCUCUUGAUCAUGAUGAACACCUGCUUUAUUGCCUGUUUACCAUUUGCUUUAGUCUUAUCUUCUGAAUUUGAAGAAACUCACCUGUGUUUCUCUAUUAAGGUAGCGAUCAGCCGGUUUUGGAAUUCCACUGCCUGAGCAAUGAGGCAAAUCAUUGAUGUGAUAGCAAAUGGUGAUCCUGAAAAAAUUCCAAUUUAACAGGAAUAAUAAUAAAACAGAAAUUGACAAACAGUAAAUGUGCUUCAUUGCAUUGUAGCCAAGCCUCCGUGCAGUUUUAUAUUAAAUAACCACUGCUUUCAUUGAGGUGGGGUCCUCAGCUAGGGGCCAUUGAUUGUGUUGUGUUAUUCUCCUCAUUGCCUAGUUUCCAGGGUACCCAGUGGGACUUAUGAGCUGUUCCUGGAGCAGCUGCAGCCUUACUGCUCUGUGGAGUCUACAGAUCUGAGCUCACACUCCAUCUCCCUCAUCAAAGCUGACAUCACUGCAGUGGAAUAUCUGUGAAAUAUUAAUAUUUAUUAUCUGCCUUUAAUGUCACUCUUCAUAUCCUCUGUGAUUCUGAAGCUUUGGGGUGAGUUAGCAUGAGGUCAGCGCUGAGGUAGAAGUUGCAUAUGAAUUUUGGAUUGCUGUAGAUUCUUAAAUUAUGCAUCUUCGGUGUAAUAAAUAGCAUUCAAGACAGAGCAACCAUUCAAGCUGUGUAUUGGUCCCCAUAUGGAGUAUUUUUCAAAGAAGUAAGAAGCAAGGCGGGUUUUACUAAUACUUAGCACAUUGUAAUAACUGCAAAAUCACACUGCUUUGGGGAUUUUGGAGCGGAAGAAAUUGAUUUGCAUGGCUGUAUUAUAAGGAAUUUACAGAAAGCAAAAUGCAUUAUAAAUGUAAUGCUGUGAAAUUAGGUUUUUGUAAGAGCUGACCUGAAACAGAAGUUUCCUUCUUCCCUGGAGCUUAACCAACAAUACGUUUGGGAGAGAGUCCUUUGUUAACAUCUUAAAAACAGGAUCACUGUCCUCCCUCAUAACAAUUUCAGUUCUUCCCAAACUGCAGUUCUUGUAAGUGCACAGUGUUAUAGGAGUACCAUGUGCUGUCUACUCCAGCCGGUGGUGAGAGCAGACUGUAUCAAAUUUGCAUUAAAGCAUCAAAAUUUGAUGCUUCGAAGCAAAUGAGAAAAUGUUUCUGCACCUGAGUUAUUUUUCUGGCUUGAUUUUUAUCUCCUUUCAUGGAACUGAAGGGCAACAAUAUUAAGAUCGUAGCGAGCCAAGCCUUCAAAUGGACAGAUUCUCUGAAGUCACUUAAGAUUCAGGAAAACAGCAUCACUAUGCUGAUUGAUGGGGCAGUCAUUGGACAAAGCAAACCUAUUAGUUUAUUUCCCUUUAGGGGGAUAAUACUAUGUUACCUUAGUCUGCUUCGUAAACAGUGUCAACUAGGGAAACUAGCACAGCUUUAAUUUCAUGUUAACCAAUUCCAGUGGAAGAGAUAGGAUGGAAAACUUGCAUCCAAAAUGGCAUGAUUUGACACAGUCACAGUUUUUUUUAUUCGCACUUACAUUUUGUUUAAUAGAUGCAUUUUCAAGUACAUCAUGAACUAAUCCAAGUUCAUAAUGAGGACAGAAGAUGAGUAGCUUAACCUAAAUGUGAGCUUAUAACAGCAUCAUGCUUAUGGGAACCUUAGAGAGGUAAAUUAGCCCUGGAUGUAUGGUAAUACCAACCUUUUAGAUGUGAAUUAGCACUGGCUAUACAGUAAUACCAUCCUUACAUAUGUGAAUGAGCACUGUAUGGUCAUAGCAUCCUGAUAGAUGUGAAUAAGGUCAUGCCAUCUUUAAAGACAUGAAGGAGCACUGUAUCAUUCCUAUAGAGGUGAAUAAGGCCUGGCUAUAUGGACUGAGGAUGCUGUGGGUGCCGCAGGCCCACUGGAACGCCAUUGACUUGAUUUGGUCAGGUGCCUGGAAGUUUUGGCAGAUCCCGCCAGAGCUGUGAGUGUGACAUUUUCCCUGCUUCCAGAGCCAGAAGCACAGCUGUGUAGCAGCCUGUUUAAUCAUUGUACUUCUGUAAUUUAAUGGUUUUGAGGGCCUCUGAGGACAGAGGAGGUCUUUGCUUUUUUUUUUGGUUUUUUUUUGCCCUGUGCUUAUUUUUCUUCCUUUCAUAAAUGUGAUCAUUUUCAGGUAUAAAAGGGAAGACAAAUAAAAUCAAUAUCAAAGGUAGUUUAUGGCAUAUAGCUGCAUUUUCAAAAUUUUAACUCGAGGCAAUUUCUAAAAAGGCACCCAAAUGAAACCUAAUUUUACGUUUGAUUUAUUUCAGCGUUUUCAUUUUUUAUUAUCUUUGCAGUUUCUCCUUUUCAAUGCUUUCAUCAUUUUUUGACGUGAGUUAAUGAAUAAAUCCCGAUAUAAUGGUAAUUUCAUGUUCAUGUUUGCAAAAAAAAAGCAUCAGUCAGUGACUAGCUACAAACGUAAACAUGCAUUGUAACAUCUCGAGUAAAGCAAGACAAGGCAAUUUCCUCGUAAUUGAUGUCUGACUUUAAUUUUUAUCCUUUUUCAGUUUCAAAGUAGGGAACACUCACAGAAAUGAUGAAUAAUACUAAUAGAACUAACAGUAGGUCUUUUAAGGACACUGGCUGCUCUGGGACAGCCAUGCUGAAGAGCCGGGACCCAGAGGAGAAUUUGAUUAAGAUUUGAUCUCAACCUUGGAGAGGGGAGGGUCAUCUGCAGCUUGCCCCCCAUCCCCAGCCCUCCUGAAAUUACCACAAUAAUAUAUGGUUACCAAAAAACACAACAAAAUAUUUUUUUCCUCCAAGGAGCAACACAGCCAAGCACAGGUCAGUAAAAACUUUAAACAUUCUGAAAGUGUUCUGAGUCAUGCACCUCAAACAAUCCAGCUCAGGAGCAAAUGUUUUCAUCCAUAACUUUUACAGUUCUGUUUUUUAAAAUUAUUUGAAAUUAUUUUAUGGUGUCCCGAAGGCCACUUGGGGAUUAGAUGGAGGAGGGCAGUCUUAUUUGGGUCAGCUCACCUACAGCGUUAUCCUGCCUGCCUAAAAUCUCACUUUACACUUGAGUUACACUUUAUACACUAAUCAGAGUGGUAAGGCACAGAGGCUGCUCUAAGCCCAUAUGGGCGGUCUGCCAGUGGAACUAUGGGUAGUCGGUCUAUGUCUGCUAGUAGGUCGGCACCGAGAGGUGUCAGGGAGAGACGUUUUUCUUAAAGGAGAAGUGUGUCCUGGCUGCACUAAUUUUAUGUGUGUUUCAGAGAUGUACAGAGAUCUCCUGGGAUAUCCGGUUUCGUAGAGGACUCCUUGGUUCGUCAUGAUUGGUAUACACCCCCCACAAAAAUAAAAACUACACACGCGCACACACACGCUCAAACACACACACACACACACACACACACACACAAUUUUACUGUGUAUCAAAACUAAUGAGGUGGCAGAAAUAUAAGAACUGUCACGUUCCAACAGCAGAGUUCUCCUCACAGGGAGGAGGAGUGAUUCCCCUGGGUCAGGAGGAUAGCACAGCCAGCGAGGUUUUGAUGUUUGAAUUAUAUCGGUUUGAAAUAUAUUCAUAGGAGUUAUCCAGUCUCGAGCAGAACUAGGUAAGAUCCAUCACAUCACAACCUCCACAAUCUGAUUUUUUUUUUCUAGUAAGCCUACGAUCAUGAUGGUAAUGUAGCCUAUAGCUGCCUCAGUUUUAAGAAAUAUUAAUGAGAUUUAACAAUAGCAUCACAGGACAAUAUUGGAUAUUCUAAAAAAAAGACUCCCGGUUUAGAUUACACUUUUUACACUGAUGGGUUAUUUAAACGGAUUUGGUGGCAGGUGCCAAAUCUGGUUCCACCGUAGGCCUACCUCUUUUACAUUCUGUUCUGGCAAUAAAACAGUAAAAUCAACGUUAUUAAAAAGGGUAGUGUUUUUUAAUUAAGCCUUAUAAUGUCUCCAUGCACACAAUUAUAAUUUUACAUGACGGUCUGUACAUGCAGAAUUUCUGUUGCCUGUCAUUAAAAGAUGUGGGUUUGAAACAGCAACAAAGAAAAUUUUAUAUUAAUAUUUCUUAAUUGGUACAUGCCAGCAAGGUUUCAAUCAUGCAUGUUUAUUUUUAUCUGCUGAUAACUGUGAUUUGAGCCGAAAUGCUGUCAUGACAAUCCACCCAAAGCCCUUUCCCACAUGAAGCUGGAAACAGUGAGUUGCCAGACUGAAGCAUCAGUGUAGCUGUCAAAGGGCUGCGCCAGUAGACUUAUUCUGCCCCCAAGCACUGGUCCUGGAUCAAAUCAAAUUCCAUUCCUAGAGGGAGGAUGUGUGUACAUGGGUUUAUUGUUUCCACCAAUUAUUUUGGUUCAUUUAGAUUGGACUUAGGCCAUAGAUGAGACCACAAUAUAACGUAUCAAAUUGGGACACAAAACCAGGCACUAGUUGUGAAUUUAUUUAUAUGUAAAUGUUAGAACGACCGUUUAACACACUAGCCACAUGCAGCAAGUGCAAUAUUGAUGUUUCAAGUUCAGUCUUUUUAAGUUUUAGAUAUUUACUGAAGUUUCUGACAACCUGUAUGCUUCACAGUGGCUGGUGCAGGGGUGCAUGGGGUUUGUGGCCUAAAGCAAGAAAAUACACUUAAAGUAACUCCAAAGCAACUUGUACUGCAAUGUUAUGUUUAGUGAACCUUAACUCAGAUUGUUGACAUAUUUCAUAUUAGCUUUUCACUCAUAUUUGCACUUCCAGUUGUUGCUGUCUUGGCCUGAUUAAUAGCUAAUAUGAAGUAUUGAGCACUUGUAAAUUGGUAACUCUAUUACUGGGAACCUACAGAAUGCUGUCAUUUAUCAAGAUGAAUUGGAACCACUAGUUCUCCUAAUCUGAUUUCCUCUAUUUUGGCAUGCACAUGCAAAAGCCCUUAAAGAGCCAGUCCAAGUCGCAUGCAGUCUUAAAAAUAAUAAUGGAAAUAAUCUUGGUCACAUUUGAUGCUUCUCACUUCUUUUGAUAAAGCAGCUUAAGUUAAAUACCUAAUUGCUGAGGUGGUUUUAAUUGUGUGGCACAAAUCACAUUACCCUGCACAUCUACUCACAUCUACAGCAAAUAAUGUAUGGCCGUUAUCACCAGCAUACCCCUGCCAUUGCCUGGAGACAGAGAGGUCCAUUGUGUGACUGGGAUCUGUAACGGCUUUGUAUUAUAAGCCUUGUUGUGUAACUGUAUGACUGUAGGAGCACCACCUUCCGUACACUCACAAAGGUGGGCAGGUUCCGCCCGUAUAUCUGCAGAGCGGGUGAGGAGCUGGUCCAUUCCUCCAUGCAUCCGUCUCUCUGAUAAUGCCACGCACAGCGUGCUGGGUGAAUCAGCAUGCCCCCCUGGCCCAUAAUUACCUGCCACCUGUCUGUCUGUCUGUUUAGGUUGCUAUUUGAAACUCCCCUCCAGGACGGAUAUCUGUCAAGCCAAGGUCCUCAACAACCUAAAAAACAUCAAAAAUUCCUCAUCAAUAUGGACAUGGUGUUUCAAUUUGAACAUAAUAAACAUGAACAUAAGAACAGAGUAGUCUGGCUGACUGUGGUUGACUUGAGAGCAUACUGUAAUAUGAGUCUCAGUGUGAAUCAGACUGCUCUUUUAGUUUAAGAUAAUGAUACAGUUGUAGAAGUGGUCAUUACGGGAGAGUAAGCUGUAAUUUUAUAAUGCGCGGUUCAUCAGGUUGAAAGCAAUUGAGCUAAUAUUAUUGAGCAUUGUACUCUUUGAGCCACGGGGUACAUUACUGGGUUAUCUGACACCAGGUAAAUAAUGCUAGUGCAGAAGCUGCCAGAUGUGCUGUGAAAUACAUCCUCUGAAAAAACAUUUCAACAAAGAGCUUUUAGUCUUGAUCCUUUUCUCAUUUUCCCAGAAAGCCCCUCACUUUUGCGAUGCCAGGAGGACAGGCGGGGGUCCUGUGACAAGACAGUGAUGCCACAGUGGAUUGUGGGGGGUGGCCAUGCACCCUGCCCAUAUUAAACAAACGAUGGAAGGCCACUGGCACUGAAUGAGCGCCACUUAUUCACCUCUGCCAAUCAGCUGUUGAUUGUACCUCAUGUUCUGGAUCGAUCAUAGAACAUAUAAGUAUGAUUCCAAUUGCCCUUGUUGAUGAGGGGAGGAAAUUGAUAUUCUGGUCCUGGGAGGAAGCUUUCUAGGAUGUUAUUUUAUUAUUUUAAAAAUUAUUUGAUUUAUUAUUUAUUUAUAAUUUAUUGUUUAUUUUUCAAAAAAUAAUUACAGGUUUGUUGACCUUGUGCACAAAGUGAGGGAUAUUUCCCUCUAAAUAAUGAUAUUUUUUUGAAGACUUUGGAGCCAGGGCAGAAGAGCAAGCAGUCCCAUCCUAUCCAGAGCAGCUUCAACCCUACAGUAAGAGCAGUGUGAGAGGCUGGGGUUCCCACAGCAGAUGCCAGCAUCUACUCCUGCUCUCCCGGCACCAGCAUUUGUACCAUAUGGAAUAGCAGAACUAUGUUUUUACUGCUCCAGUUUUUACUCAGCUUCUCUCACCCUUUGAAGAAGUUGCCUGAAAUCCCUCCCAACAGGCCAAGAAUGCCCACUGCUCAGUCCUGACAUAUCAUAAGAAUCUCGCAAAAUUCUAGCCACCAUUGGCAAUACUAACAGAGAACAAAGGCCCCUGGAGCUGUGCGGUAUUAGUGAGUCAUUCUCUGGAUCCGAUCAAAGGGGGAACGCGGCGCUGAAUGCUAACCAUCCGCUACAGGUGAAUGAAUUAUUCAUCCCGGUGUCCAGGGUGGCAUCGUGCUCUUCCAAGACGGAGACCUGGCUUUUUUUUAACAUUACAGAGCACCGACAAAGAGACGGAGCCGCCUGUUUAAUUUGCCCUCGGUGAUAAUCGCACUCGACCAGACGCGGAACGUGAAAGGGUGCCACUGCUGGCUGUUUACGGAGGUUUAAGAUGCGCCGCAUUGAACAGAUAGAACCUGUUGAGCGGAGUACGGACGUGAGUGUCUUCACCUGUGGGUAUUAUCUCACCACAGCGAGCAGAACAAUCUGCAUACAUUACACAGGGGGGACGCGUGCAUUCGCACGGCUAUCGCAUACACAAACGUGGCCUUCCCCUCACACCUGCCCUUGGCUGGGUUGACUAUAGGACCUUCAGGUAGAAGACAUUAUUCAAGCAUACGUAAUUGGUUAAUUGUCAUAGCGUAGUGAUUCAACUAAAUCACUAGACUAAAAAUGUUAAAAUCAUUAGUCGUCUGAAUCAAUUUUUUUAUGGGAAGAAUCAUUUCUCGGAUCAGAAGAAACUGCAGCGUUGAGCGCUGUCUGUAAGUGCAUGUCACAGGCCACUGUUCCACAGCCCUUUGGUGACUUCAUUCAAUUACACCCUAUUGCCAGGGUCUUAAAAUCAAUAACAAAUCUGCAGUGAUGCUUUUGUCCUCUAUUAUGUGGAAGCUGUAAGAAACUGAAUUAUAGUUAGAGAAGUCAUUCACCAGAUUAGUUGUGGGACAGAGAAAAGGAGGAAGUCAGUUUUGGCCUUAAUGUGUGAUCCGUAUAUAAUGGCGCAUUAUUCGAUGGACCUUCACAUUUUUGCCAUUUUGGCUGAUUCUUCAGUGGAUGAGAGCUGAAAUCUUGAGGAUGGAGAACAGUAUAGUUAUUUUAUAGUUGAACGAUUACUGGUAUAGAAACAUGCCACAUCAUCAGGUGGCCAGAUCUUCAGGAGAACUUCAUACCAAAUGUAUCAUCAAAACAUUCCAAAUGGUAAAAAUAAUAAAUAAAUAAAUAAAUAAACUAAACCCCAGCAAUGCUGAAAUAAAAUGAACACUUUUUUAUUUUCCAAAAAUCUUUCUAAAUAUUCCCAUGGGAACUAAUUCCCAAAGAAACAACAUUGAUUUGUUUGAUUUUUUUGUUUAUGUUUUUUUAAAACAUACAAACUACCCCAAUAUUAAAUGUUUUUUCAAGUGUAUGUUUAAUUCACAAUAUAAGUGCAAAAGAAAAGUCGAUACCAAUACAAUGUUUAUUAAAACAAAAUAUAGAUACUUUGAAUAAUGUGAACUUCAAAUUUGGUAUAAAACAGGCCUGACUACACAGAUUGUACCAUCACUCCCAUUGAUACAGCUGUACAGCUUUUGUAACUGAAUAAAUAACACAUCAGAAUUUCAAA